CCUACGGGUGGCAGCAGUGGGGAAUAUUGGACAAUGGGGGCAACCCUGAUCCAGCCAUGCCGCGUGUGUGAAGAAGGCCCUCGGGUUGUAAAGCACUUUCAGUGAGGAAGAACGCCUGGUGGUUAAUACCCAUCAGGAAAGACAUCACUCACAGAAGAAGCACCGGCUAACUCCGUGCCAGCAGCCGCGGUAAUACGGAGGGUGCGAGCGUUAAUCGGAAUUACUGGGCGUAAAGCGCGCGUAGGUGGCUUGAUAAGCCGGUUGUGAAAGCCCCGGGCUCAACCCGGGAACGGCAUCCGGAACUGUCAAGCUAGAGUGCAGGAGAGGAAGGUAGAAUUCCCGGUGUAGCGGUGAAAUGCGUAGAGAUCGGGAGGAAUACCAGUGGCGAAGGCGGCCUUCUGGACUGACACUGACACUGAGGUGCGAAAGCGUGGGUAGCAAACAGGAUUAGAUACCCUGGUAGUC
rnacentral:rRNA from 1 species